CAAAGUCAUGCAGGCAAAAGACC
rnacentral:piRNA from 1 species